rnacentral:lncRNA from 1 species
CCGUUGUUGAGCAGCUUCUCCUUGUUGUACAGCAACUCCUCGUGCGUCUCCGUCGAGAACUCAAAGUUGGGACCCUCCACGAUGGCAUCCACAGGGCAGGCCUCCUGGCAGAAGCCACAGUAGAUGCACUUGGUCAUGUCGAUGUCGUAGCGCGUGGUGCGGCGGCUGCCGUCCGCCCUGGGCUCGGCCUCAAUGGUGAUGGCCUGUGCGGGGCAGAUGGCCUCACAGAGCUUGCAGGCGAUGCAGCGUUCCUCGCCCGACGGGUAGCGGCGCAGUGCGUGCUCCCCACGGAAGCGUGGGCUCAGCGGUCCCUUCUCA